UGAACGCUGGCGGCGUGCCUCAUACAUGCAAGUCGAGCGAACAGACGAGGAGCUUGCUCCUCUGACGUUAGCGGCGGACGGGUGAGUAACACGUGGAUAACCUACCUAUAAGACUGGGAUAACUUCGGGAAACCGGAGCUAAUACCGGAUAAUAUAUUGAACCGCAUGGUUCAAUAGUGAAAGACGGUUUUGCUGUCACUUAUAGAUGGAUCCGCGCCGCAUUAGCUAGUUGGUAAGGUAACGGCUUACCAAGGCAACGAUGCGUAGCCGACCUGAGAGGGUGAUCGGCCACACUGGAACUGAGACACGGUCCAGACUCCUACGGGAGGCAGCAGUAGGGAAUCUUCCGCAAUGGGCGAAAGCUUGACGGAGCAACGCCGCGUGAGUGAUGAAGGUCUUCGGAUCGUAAAACUCUGUUAUUAGGGAAGAACAAAUGUAUAAGUAACUAUGCACGUCUUGACGGUACCUAAUCAGAAAGCCACGGCUAACUACGUG
rnacentral:rRNA from 1 species